CUACAAUGAUGGCACUAUUUUUCUUCGACAACAGUUCACCCAGUGAGUGCUGAUACUGUGGGUCUGAGUGA
ensembl:snoRNA